GAUGAACGCUGGCGGCGUGCCUAAUACAUGCAAGUCGAGCGAACAGACGAGGAGCUUGCUCCUCUGACGUUAGCGGCGGACGGGUGAGUAACACGUGGAUAACCUACCUGUAAGACUGGGAUAACUUCGGGAAACCGGAGCUAAUACCGGAUAAUAUAUUGAACCGCAUGGUUCAAUAGUGAAAGACGGUUUUGCUGUCACUUAUAGAUGGAUCCGCGCCGCAUUAGCUAGUUGGUAAGGUAACGGCUUACCAAGGCAACGAUGCGUAGCCGACCUGAGAGGGUGAUCGGCCACACUGGAACUGAGACACGGUCCAGACUCCUACGGGAGGCAGCAGUAGGGAAUCGUCCGCAAUGGGCGAAAGCCUGACGGAGCAACGCCGCGUGAGUGAUGAAGGUCUUCGGAUCGUAAAACUCUGUUAUUAGGGAAGAACAAAUGUGUAAGUAACUAUGCACGUCUUGACGGUACCUAAUCAGAAAGCCACGGCUAACUACGUG
rnacentral:rRNA from 1 species